rnacentral:rRNA from 1 species
GGGUUGUGAGGUUAAGCGACUAAGCGUACACGGUGGAUGCCCUGGCAGUCAGAGGCGAUGAAGGACGUGCUAAUCUGCGAUAAGCGUCGGUAAGGUGAUAUGAACCGUUAUAACCGGCGAUUUCCGAAUGGGGAAACCCAGUGUGAUUCGACACACUAUCAUUAACUGAAUCCAUAGGUUAAUGAGGCGAACCGGGGGAACUGAAACAUCUAAGUACCCCGAGGAAAAGAAAUCAACCGAGAUUCCCCCAGUAGCGGCGAGCGAACGGGGAGCAGCCCAGAGCCUGAAUCAGUGUGUGUGUUAGUGGAAGCGUCUGGAAAGGCGCGCGAUACAGGGUGACAGCCCCGUACACAAAAAUGCACAUGCUGUGAGCUCGAUGAGUAGGGCGGGACACGUGGUAUCCUGUCUGAAUAUGGGGGGACCAUCCUCCAAGGCUAAAUACUCCUGACUGACCGAUAGUGAACCAGUACCGUGAGGGAAAGGCGAAAAGAACCCCGGCGAGGGGAGUGAAAAAGAACCUGAAACCGUGUACGUACAAGCAGUGGGAGCACGCUUAGGCGUGUGACUGCGUACCUUUUGUAUAAUGGGUCAGCGACUUAUAUUCUGUAGCAAGGUUAACCGAAUAGGGGAGCCGAAGGGAAACCGAGUCUUAACUGGGCGUUAAGUUGCAGGGUAUAGACCCGAAACCCGGUGAUCUAGCCAUGGGCAGGUUGAAGGUUGGGUAACACUAACUGGAGGACCGAACCGACUAAUGUUGAAAAAUUAGCGGAUGACUUGUGGCUGGGGGUGAAAGGCCAAUCAAACCGGGAGAUAGCUGGUUCUCCCCGAAAGCUAUUUAGGUAGCGCCUCGUGAAUUCAUCUCCGGGGGUAGAGCACUGUUUCGGCAAGGGGGUCAUCCCGACUUACCAACCCGAUGCAAACUGCGAAUACCGGAGAAUGUUAUCACGGGAGACACACGGCGGGUGCUAACGUCCGUCGUGAAGAGGGAAACAACCCAGACCGCCAGCUAAGGUCCCAAAGUCAUGGUUAAGUGGGAAACGAUGUGGGAAGGCCCAGACAGCCAGGAUGUUGGCUUAGAAGCAGCCAUCAUUUAAAGAAAGCGUAAUAGCUCACUGGUCGAGUCGGCCUGCGCGGAAGAUGUAACGGGGCUAAACCAUGCACCGAAGCUGCGGCAGCGACGCUUAUGCGUUGUUGGGUAGGGGAGCGUUCUGUAAGCCUGCGAAGGUGUGCUGUGAGGCAUGCUGGAGGUAUCAGAAGUGCGAAUGCUGACAUAAGUAACGAUAAAGCGGGUGAAAAGCCCGCUCGCCGGAAGACCAAGGGUUCCUGUCCAACGUUAAUCGGGGCAGGGUGAGUCGACCCCUAAGGCGAGGCCGAAAGGCGUAGUCGAUGGGAAACAGGUUAAUAUUCCUGUACUUGGUGUUACUGCGAAGGGGGGACGGAGAAGGCUAUGUUGGCCGGGCGACGGUUGUCCCGGUUUAAGCGUGUAGGCUGGUUUUCCAGGCAAAUCCGGAAAAUCAAGGCUGAGGCGUGAUGACGAGGCACUACGGUGCUGAAGCAACAAAUGCCCUGCUUCCAGGAAAAGCCUCUAAGCAUCAGGUAACAUCAAAUCGUACCCCAAACCGACACAGGUGGUCAGGUAGAGAAUACCAAGGCGCUUGAGAGAACUCGGGUGAAGGAACUAGGCAAAAUGGUGCCGUAACUUCGGGAGAAGGCACGCUGAUAUGUAGGUGAAGCGACUUGCUCGUGGAGCUGAAAUCAGUCGAAGAUACCAGCUGGCUGCAACUGUUUAUUAAAAACACAGCACUGUGCAAACACGAAAGUGGACGUAUACGGUGUGACGCCUGCCCGGUGCCGGAAGGUUAAUUGAUGGGGUCAGCGCAAGCGAAGCUCUUGAUCGAAGCCCCGGUAAACGGCGGCCGUAACUAUAACGGUCCUAAGGUAGCGAAAUUCCUUGUCGGGUAAGUUCCGACCUGCACGAAUGGCGUAAUGAUGGCCAGGCUGUCUCCACCCGAGACUCAGUGAAAUUGAACUCGCUGUGAAGAUGCAGUGUACCCGCGGCAAGACGGAAAGACCCCGUGAACCUUUACUAUAGCUUGACACUGAACAUUGAGCCUUGAUGUGUAGGAUAGGUGGGAGGCUUUGAAGUGUGGACGCCAGUCUGCAUGGAGCCGACCUUGAAAUACCACCCUUUAAUGUUUGAUGUUCUAACGUUGACCCGUAAUCCGGGUUGCGGACAGUGUCUGGUGGGUAGUUUGACUGGGGCGGUCUCCUCCUAAAGAGUAACGGAGGAGCACGAAGGUUGGCUAAUCCUGGUCGGACAUCAGGAGGUUAGUGCAAUGGCAUAAGCCAGCUUGACUGCGAGCGUGACGGCGCGAGCAGGUGCGAAAGCAGGUCAUAGUGAUCCGGUGGUUCUGAAUGGAAGGGCCAUCGCUCAACGGAUAAAAGGUACUCCGGGGAUAACAGGCUGAUACCGCCCAAGAGUUCAUAUCGACGGCGGUGUUUGGCACCUCGAUGUCGGCUCAUCACAUCCUGGGGCUGAAGUAGGUCCCAAGGGUAUGGCUGUUCGCCAUUUAAAGUGGUACGCGAGCUGGGUUUAGAACGUCGUGAGACAGUUCGGUCCCUAUCUGCCGUGGGCGCUGGAGAACUGAGGGGGGCUGCUCCUAGUACGAGAGGACCGGAGUGGACGCAUCACUGGUGUUCGGGUUGUCAUGCCAAUGGCACUGCCCGGUAGCUAAAUGCGGAAGAGAUAAGUGCUGAAAGCAUCUAAGCACGAAACUUGCCCCGAGAUGAGUUCUCCCUGACUCCUUGAGAGUCCUGAAGGAACGUUGAAGACGACGACGUUGAUAGGCCGGGUGUGUAAGCGCAGCGAUGCGUUGAGCUAACCGGUACUAAUGAACCGUGAGGCUUAACCUUACAACGCCGAAGCUGUU